rnacentral:rRNA from 1 species
GAUCAUGGCUCAGAUUGAACGCUGGCGGAAUGCUUUACACAUGCAAGUCGAACGGUAGAGGGGGCAACCCUCGAGAGUGGCGAACGGGUGAGUAAUAUAUCGGAACGUGCCCAGUCGUGGGGGAUAACGUAGCGAAAGUUACGCUAAUACCGCAUACGAUCUACGGAUGAAAGCGGGGGACCGUAAGGCCUCGCGCGAUUGGAGCGGCCGAUAUCAGAUUAGGUAGUUGGUGGGGUAAAGGCUCACCAAGCCAACGAUCUGUAGCUGGUCUGAGAGGACGACCAGCCACACUGGAACUGAGACACGGUCCAGACUCCUACGGGAGGCAGCAGUGGGGAAUUUUGGACAAUGGACGCAAGUCUGAUCCAGCCAUUCCGCGUGCAGGAUGAAGGCCCUCGGGUUGUAAACUGCUUUUGUACGGAACGAAAAGGUUUCCAUUAAUACUGGGAGCUCAUGACGGUACCGUAAGAAUAAGCACCGGCUAACUACGUG